rnacentral:misc_RNA from 1 species
AGAUCAUUACCGAGUGCGGGCUGCCUCCGGGCGCCCAACCUCCCACCCUUGACUACCUAACACUGUUGCUUCGGCGGGGAGCCCUCUCGGGGGCGAGCCGCCGGGGACUACUGAACUUCAUGCCUGAGAGUGAUGCAGUCUGAGUCUGAAUAUAAAAUCAGUCAAAACUUUCAACAAUGGAUCUCUUGGUUCCGGCAUCGAUGAAGAACGCAGCGAACUGCGAUAAGUAAUGUGAAUUGCAGAAUUCAGUGAAUCAUCGAGUCUUUGAACGCACAUUGCGCCCCCUGGCAUUCCGGGGGGCAUGCCUGUCCGAGCGUCAUUGCUGCCCAUCAAGCCCGGCUUGUGUGUUGGGUCGUCGUCCCCCCCGGGGGACGGGCCCGAAAGGCAGCGGCGGCACCGUGUCCGGUCCUCGAGCGUAUGGGGCUUUGUCACCCGCUCGAUUAGGGCCGGCCGGGCGCCAGCCGACGUCUCCAACCAUUUUUUUCAGGUUGACCUCGGAUCAGGUAGGGAUACCCGCUGAACUUAAGCAUAUCAAUAAGCGGAGGA